AUCUUUUUAGUAUAAACCCAUUAUAGGUGACUUCCAAUCACUCGAUCCCGGUUAAACCCCGGGGAAAGAUA
rnacentral:tRNA from 1 species